rnacentral:rRNA from 1 species
UACGAAGGACCCAAGCGUUAUCCGGAUUUAUUGGGUUUAAAGGGUGCGUAGGCGGGUUAUUAAGUCAGUGGUGAAAGCCUGCAGCUUAACUGCAGAAUUGCCAUUGAUACUGAUGAUCUUGAGUAUGAUUGAGGUGGGCGGAAUGUGUCAUGUAGCGGUGAAAUGCUUAGAUAUGACACAGAACACCGAUUGCGUAGGCAGCUAACUAGGCUGUAACUGACGCUGAGGCACGAAAGCGUGGGGAGCGAACAGG